rnacentral:rRNA from 1 species
AAUGAACGCCGGCGGCAUGCCUAACACAUGCAAGUCGAACGAAGGCUUCGGCCUUAGUGGCGCACGGGUGCGUAACGCGUGGGAAUCUGCCCUCAGGUUCGGAAUAACAGCGAGAAAUUGCUGCUAAUACCGGAUGAUAUCGCGAGAUCAAAGAUUUAUCGCCUGAGGAUGAGCCCGCGUAGGAUUAGCUAGUUGGUGUGGUAAAGGCGCACCAAGGCGACGAUCCUUAGCUGGUCUGAGAGGAUGAUCAGCCACACUGGGACUGAGACACGGCCCAGACUCCUACGGGAGGCAGCAGUGGGGAAUAUUGGACAAUGGGCGAAAGCCUGAUCCAGCAAUGCCGCGUGAGUGAUGAAGGCCUUAGGGUUGUAAAGCUCUUUUACCCGGGACGAUAAUGACAGUACCGGGAGAAUAAGCUCCGGCUAACUCCGUGCCAGCCGCCGCCGUAACAC